AAACCGGCCCUUUUUAGGGCCACAAAUUACAUCUUUUUCGAACUG
rfam:Oikopleura dioica, whole genome shotgun assembly, reference scaffold set, scaffold scaffold_1